AGAGUUUGAUCCUGGCUCAGGACGAACGCUGGCGGCGUGCCUAACACAUGCAAGUCGAACGGAAGUUAGAGCUUCGGUUUUAACUUUAGUGGCGAACGGGUGAGUAACGCGUGAGGAACCUGCCUUUCAGUGGGGGACAACAGUUGGAAACGACUGCUAAUACCGCAUGACACUUUUGGGAGACAUCUCCUGGGAGUCAAAGCUUUAUGUGCUGAAGGAUGGCCUCGCGUCUGAUUAGCUGGUUGGUGAGGUAACGGCUCACCAAGGCGACGAUCAGUAGCCGGUCUGAGAGGAUGAACGGCCACAUUGGGACUGAGAUACGGCCCAGACUCCUACGGGAGGCAGCAGUGGGGAAUAUUGGGCAAUGGGGGAAACCCUGACCCAGCAACGCCGCGUGAAGGAAGAAGGCCUUCGGGUUGUAAACUUCUUUUACCAGGGACGAAGGACGUGACGGUACCUGGAGAAAAAGCAACGGCUAACUACGUGCCAGCAGCCGCGGU
rnacentral:rRNA from 1 species